CUCACAAUUGACUCAAAAUAAUU
rnacentral:snRNA from 1 species